UAGGCUUAGGGUUAGGGUUAGGGUUAGUUGAAUUGUGUGGACUGCUGAUUAUGUAGGUUUUUAUUUAACAUGGGUGAACAGCCAUACGUUCACACGGUUCCCCUAACAGAGGAGAGGCACAAACAC